CCUGAAAUUAAAACAGGAAACGUCUCCAGUCAACUUAAUCAACCAGCCCUUCUCCUGUGCCUACCAUGUGCCAGGCACUGUGCUGAUACAAAGACGGAAACCAUCCCAACGCCUAGGAAGCGACAUUCUAACAGCAAAGAAGUGCCCCCCCACAAGCCUACCUAAUAAGUAGAAACAAACAACAAGGAGGGAGCCUCCCUUGGAAGGACGUGUUGGCGCCGGGCCUUGAAGGUGAAGAGGGAGUCGAGCUCUGGCUAAGGGGGUCUCUAGGAAUGGGGGUGAUGGGCUAAGUGACGCCGUGAGGAACAGGGGUCGGAGCGUACAAGCGGGGAGUAACGUCCAUGAAGCCGGAGACAUCCGAGUUCCUGUUUGAUCCUCCAGGAAACCGAAGGCCACUGGAGUUUACAGAGAAUGGGACGGGGUGGCAUGGUCAGAUCUGCGUCUAAGGAAGAUCGUUGGGCUGGAGUGGGAGACAAUGACGAGGCUGCUGCAAGGACUGAUCGCGAGAGGGCAGGAGCAGCUAUGUGAGCUGAGAGAGGGUACCGAGAGAGCACCAAAGGAAUGGAGGACACGAAAGCCUCGAGGAAGGAUGCUGCCUUUGAGAGCCCCAAACAAGAAUGCUCUUACUACACUGACCAUCAGUCAAUCCACCAGCAAUUACUCAGCACUUCACAUAUGACAGAAUAUGGACUAAAGACAUUCCCUCUUCACUUUGGACCUAUGAUUUCCUGGCACAAAUGAGCUGAGAUCUGCUUGGGACCAGGGGAGAUGACAGGACUUGCCAACCAUCAGAUGACUAUUUUGUGUCAAAAGUAGAAAUAGAUCCUAUGCUCCCUAAUGCCCAGACCUGGCCUGCUGUCCCGGAUGGCAUCCUAUCAUAAAUUAAGGAAUAUAAAGCAGGGGCUUAAUUAUCCAACACCACAGACUUAAUCUUUCAUUAAAACUCUGCAAAUUCAGCACAGCAAUUAAAUUCAAAUAUUUAUUCGUGGCCACCUAUGCCUGGAAUUCCAUCCAUCUCAGAGAAUCCCAAGUUUCCUUCAGGCCCUUUAGGAAAUCUGCAGAAAAAUGCUUUGCAUAGAGUUUUGUUCUUGUCUUUGUGGUUCUGAUAGGCCAGAAGGUCCUUCAGGAACAGGACGGCACCUCUAUACCUGUGUCCCCAGGAGCUAACAACACUUGCCUGGAGCAAGUGACUAACAAACACUUAUUAAACUGAACCACACUAAAUGCUUCUUUUGUAGGUAGCGCUAGGCACUGCAGAAGAUAGAAGAUCAGCUCUCUUCAUAGAGCUGACAAUCUAGAAGAGAGACAAAACAAACGCCUGGUAAAUACACUAGAAAUGGAAAAAACCUGCCCAGAGAGAGCUUUACCAAUUUUGAGAUGGGCUGCAGAAUGGGUAAAGGAGAGGCAGGUAUUUGCCAUGUCAAGGCAGAAGGAGAACACCUUUCAAUCAUAAACAAAAGAAAUUCUAAAGUUCACAGAUUUCUAUUUUGCUUACAGUUUUAGGAACCACUGUCAGCAAACACCGCUAAGCCCCAGAGGAAAAGUUUUCAUCGUUUUAUCUUUCACAUGGUUGCAUGUUUCCUUUUUUUAUUUCCUUUUUUUCCAAUUAUAUAUAAAAACAAUUUUUAACAUUCAUUUUUUUAAAAUUUGAGUUCCAUAUUCUUUCUCUGCCUCCCUAUCCUCAUGGAGAAAGCAAUCUGAUAUGGUUGUAUGCUUUAAGAAGAAGCUAGUAGGUCAUUUUUUAUUACAAUAAAAUUAAGAUUGAGACAAUUAA